rnacentral:tRNA from 1 species
CCUCUUGUAGCUCAGUUGGUAAAGAAUCUGUCUAAAAUGCAGGAGACCCAGGUUCAAUCCCUGGUUUGGGAA